rnacentral:rRNA from 1 species
AGUGAACGCUGGCGGUAGGCCUAACACAUGCAAGUCGAACGGCAGCACAGUAAGAGCUUGCUCUUACGGGUGGCGAGUGGCGGACGGGUGAGGAAUACAUCGGAAUCUACUUUUUCGUGGGGGUUAACGUAGGGAAACUUACGCUAAUACCGCAUACGACCUACGGGUGAAAGCAGGGGAUCUUCGGACCUUGCGCGAUUGAAUGAGCCGAGGUCGGAUUAGCUAGUUGGCGGGGUAAAGGCCCACCAAGGCGACGAUCCGUAGCUGGCCUGAGAGGAUGGUCAGCGACACUGGAACGGAGACACGGUCCAGACUCCUACGGGAGGCAGCAGUGGGGAAUAGUGGACAAUGGGCGCAAGCCUGAUCCAGCCAUACCGCGUGGGUGAAGAAGGCGUUCGGGUUGUAAAGCCGUUUUGUUGGGAAAGAAAAGCAGCAGGUUAAUACCCCGCUGUUCUGACGGUACUCAAAGAAUAAGCACCGGCUAACUUCGUG